rnacentral:lncRNA from 1 species
AAGCACAUCAUAUCAUGCCACAUAAUCAACCACAGUAUUAGCCCGCUCUACUAAUACCUAUACCACUCAAAACAACGGGAAAUGACCCCUACAACAUCAUAUCUCAGCUAAGUACAUCACUCAGCCUAAACAACCAAAAACUGCACAACAACAGUUCAGGAAAAUCCCAACUCUGCCCAUACGCGUACUGUCCAUGCCAUACGCGUAUUGCCCAAACCUGGCCAACUCCAUACGCGUAAUGCCUACUCUCUUACGCGUAUUGC